UACGUAGGGUGCAGGCGUUAUUCGGAAUUACUGGGCGUAAAGCGUGCGCAGGCGGUUUGUUAAGUCAGCUGUGAAAGCCCCGGGCUUAACCUGGGAACUGCGUUUGAAACUGGGAGACUUGAGUGUGGCAGAGGGGGGUGGAAUUCCACGUGUAGCAGUGAAAUGCGUAGAUAUGUGGAGGAACACCAAUGGCGAAGGCAGCCCCCUGGGUCAACACUGACGCUCAUGCACGAAAGCGUGGGGAGCAAACAGG
rnacentral:rRNA from 1 species